UCCCUGGUUGUCUAGUGGUAAGGAUUCGGCGCUCUCACCGCCGGCGCCGGGUCUGAUUCCGCCAGGGAA